rnacentral:rRNA from 1 species
UACAGAGGUCUCAAGCGUUGUUCGGAUUCAUUGGGCGUAAAGGGUGCGUAGGCGGCGGUGUAAGUCUGAUGUGAAAUACCGGGGCUCAACCCCGGAACUGCAUUGGAUACUGCAUUGCUAGAGUACUGGAGAGGGAACUGGAAUUUACGGUGUAGCAGUGAAAUGCGUAGAGAUCGUAAGGAAGACCAGUGGCGAAGGCGAGUUCCUGGACAGUUACUGACGCUGAGGCACGAAGGCCAGGGGAGCAAACGGG